rnacentral:lncRNA from 1 species
UGGGAUCCCGGGUAUAGACAUGGCACCGCUUGGCACACCAUGCUGUGGUUGCAUGAUCAAGCCCAAAGGGAAUAGGAUAAAGAAGUAUAUUCUGCCUACUGGAAAGGAUGGCAAAGGUACUCCAUUACAACAUUAAGAGGGGAAAUCUUUGCCAUGUGUGCAGUCUUGGAGGGAAAACGCUUAGUCUCUCACCAUUGAGCAUCAUAUUAACUGAAUUCUUAUAAAUCAAGACGAGGUAGUGGGCAUGGUCCUGAGAAGAAAACAAUCAAAUAGAUGGUCAGUAUCCUUGGCAUCUGAUUCUGUGUUGAUCAUGAAACAAAAAUGUUCAAUAUGCACUUGCUACAAAGCUUACGACUCAGUUAAGGUAUAAAUUCAACAAAUGAAUAUAAAUAACAACCAGAUGUGGAACAACAA